rnacentral:rRNA from 1 species
UGCCAGCAGCCGCGGUAAUACGGAGGGGGUUAGCGUUGUUCGGAAUUACUGGGCGUAAAGCGCACGUAGGCGGAUUGGAAAGUAGGGGGUGAAAUCCCAGGGCUCAACCUUGGAACUGCCAUCAAAACUUUUUAGCUAGAGUAUGAUAGAGGAAAGUGGAAUUUCUAGUGUAGAGGUGAAAUUCGUAGAUAUUAGAAAGAACAUUAAAAGCGAAGGCAACUUUCUGGAUCAUUACUGACACUGAGGAGCGAAAGCAUGGGUAGCGAAGAGGAUUAGAUA